ensembl:lncRNA
GGUGGAUCGAAGCUCGGGAGAUGUUCUUCCCCCUCCCCACGCCCCCUCCUUUUUUCUUCACAUCUUUUAACCUUCAAGGUUCACUACGUCAGGAUGAGUGUGUUCCACUUCUGCUGCUUGAGGUGUGCACAGUGGGAGGAGAUGAAGAUGUGGGCCUCGUGGCUCAGGAAAAACUCUUCACAACCAUCACGAGAAGGGGAAAUCACGUCUCAUUAGAAUGUGUCUGUAAGUUUUUCUUCAUCUUAAAGAAAAGUGCAUUCAUCUCUGGAAGAAAGCAAUAUUUCUCCCUGAAGUGUACAUUUUCUAAGUUGAAUUAAAUAACCGGAAUGGGUGUGGUUGUGGAACUCUGUAUUCUCAAACUCAGAAACUUUAUAAUUCACUGCAAUACACCCAAAUAUGUC